UACGGAGGGAGCUAGCGUUGUUCGGAAUUACUGGGCGUAAAGCGCGCGUAGGCGGCUUUGUAAGUUAGAGGUGAAAGUCUGGAGCUCAACUUCAGAAUUGCCUUUAAGACUGCAUCGCUUGAAUCCGGGAGAGGUGAGUGGAAUUCCGAGUGUAGAGGUGAAAUUCGUAGAUAUUCGGAAGAACACCAGUGGCGAAGGCGGCUCACUGGACCGGCAUUGACGCUGAGGUGCGAAAGCGUGGGGAGCAAACAGG
rnacentral:rRNA from 1 species